rnacentral:rRNA from 1 species
UAGGGAAUCUUCCGCAAUGGGCGAAAGCCUGACGGAGCAACGCCGCGUGAGUGAAGAAGGAUUUCGGUUCGUAAAGCUCUGUUGUUAGGGAAGAAUGAUUGUGUAGUAACUAUACACAGUAGAGACGGUACCUAACCAGAAAGCCACGGCUAACUACGUGCCAGCAGCCGCGGUAAUACGUAGGUGGCAAGCGUUGUCCGGAAUUAUUGGGCGUAAAGCGCGCGUAGGUGGUUUAAUAAGUCUGAUGUGAAAGCCCACGGCUCAACCGUGGAGGGUCAUUGGAAACUGUUAAACUUGAGUGCAGGAGAGAAAAGUGGAAUUCCUAGUGUAGCGGUGAAAUGCGUAGAGAUUAGGAGGAACACCAGUGGCGAAGGCGGCUUUUUGGCCUGUAACUGACACUGAGGCGCGAAAGCGUGGGGAGCAAACGGGAUUAGAUACCCUGGUAGUCCACGCCGUAAACGAUGAGUGCUAAGUGUUGGUCUCAUAAGAGAUCAGUGCUGCAGCUAACGCAUUAAGCACUCCGCCUGGGGAGUACGACCGCAAGGUUG